GGGGAUUUGGCUCAGUGGUAGAGCGCCUGCCUAGCAAGCACAAGGCCCUGGGUUCGGUCCCAGCUCCG
rnacentral:tRNA from 1 species